rnacentral:rRNA from 1 species
AGUGAACGCUGGCGGUAGGCCUAACACAUGCAAGUCGAACGGCAGCACAGUAAGAGCUUGCUCUUACGGGUGGCGAGUGGCGGACGGGUGAGGAAUACAUCGGAAUCUACUUUUUCGUGGGGGAUAACGUAGGGAAACUUACGCUAAUACCGCAUACGACCUACGGGUGAAAGCAGGGGAUCUUCGGACCUUGCGCGAUUGAAUGAGCCGAUGUCGGAUUAGCUAGUUGGCGGGGUAAAGGCCCACCAAGGCGACGAUCCGUAGCUGGUCUGGGAGGAUGAUCAGCGACACUGGAACUGAGACACGGUCCAGACUCCUAAGGGAGGCAGCAGUGGGGAAUAUUGGACAAUGGGCGCAAGCCUGAUCCAGCCAUACUGCGUGGGUGAAGAAGGCCUUCGGGUUGUAAAGCCCUUUUGUUGGGAAAGAAAAGCAGCAGGUUAAUACCCCGCUGUUCUGACGGUACCCAAAGAAUAAGCACCGGCUAACUUCGUG